UUUCCGUAGGUGAACCUGCGGAAGGAUCAUUGUCGAGACCGACCGAGCGAUUCGGAGAACCCGUGAAAUAAGCGACUGAACAUUCAUCACAGUCGCAACCUCGUCUCCCCUGGCGGCGGGCCGCGAUGAAUGGUGGAUGAAAAAAAAAACCAAAACCGACGCAACCUCGCAUCAAGGGAAUACAGAGAACACGAGCCCUUGAUCGGGCUCCGUGGCGUGGAGUGCUGAUGCACACCAUAUGGAUUGACACGACUCUCGGCAAUGGAUAUCUCGGCUCUC
rnacentral:misc_RNA from 1 species